rnacentral:tRNA from 1 species
AUCUAAAUAGUUUAUACAAAAUAUAAAUUUGUGGAAUUUAAGAAAUAUUUUAUUUUAGGUA